GGGGCUGCUUUGGUUUUGACGGUUUGGUAAAUUGGAAUGUAAGCAUGUUGAGCUUUGUAUUUUGGCUCGUAAAUCUCAAGGUACACAACAAUAAACGGCGAAAAUAACUACGCACUUGCUGCUUAAUAUUGCUCAGCAAUAUAAGCUUAAUCCCACGUCUAGGACAUAGGGACAGGUUGUCUCUCUUAGAGCCUUGUUUAACGGCGCUUUGAUUUUGAGGCAUCGUAAAUGUUAAACUAGUUUAGUUAGAGCUUUGAUAACUAAGCGAAAUUAAAAAGCUAAGGUUUGGUUCGGCUGCUUUUUGCCAGACUAAGCACAAAAAUCAAUAAAAAGAUAAACAUGUAGAAAGCAUUUUGGUUCCUUAUUCGGACGCGGGUUCGAGUCCCGCCAGCUCCACUG
rnacentral:tmRNA from 1 species